UACGAAGGGAGCUAGCGUUGUUCGGAAUUACUGGGCGUAAAGCGCACGUAGGCGGAUUUGUCAGUCAGGGGUGAAAUCCCGGGGCUCAACCUCGGAACUGCCUUUGAUACAGCAAGUCUUGAGUUCGAGAGAGGUGGGUGGAAUUCCUAGUGUAGAGGUGAAAUUCGUAGAUAUUAGGAAGAACACCGGUGGCGAAGGCGGCCCACUGGCUCGAUACUGACGCUGAGGCGCGAAAGCCAGGGGAGCAAAGCGGGAUUAAGAUGACCCGGGUA
rnacentral:rRNA from 1 species